GAUGAACGCUAGCGGGAUGCCUUACACAUGCAAGUCGAACGGCAGCACGGACUUCGGUCUGGUGGCGAGUGGCGAACGGGUGAGUAAUGUAUCGGAACGUGCCUAGUAGCGGGGGAUAACUACGCGAAAGCGUAGCUAAUACCGCAUACGCCCUACGGGGGAAAGCAGGGGAUCGCAAGACCUUGCACUAUUAGAGCGGCCGAUAUCGGAUUAGCUAGUUGGUGGGGUAACGGCUCACCAAGGCGACGAUCCGUAGCUGGUUUGAGAGGACGACCAGCCACACUGGGACUGAGACACGGCCCAGACUCCUACGGGAGGCAGCAGUGGGGAAUUUUGGACAAUGGGGGAAACCCUGAUCCAGCCAUCCCGCGUGUGCGAUGAAGGCC
rnacentral:rRNA from 1 species